rnacentral:rRNA from 1 species
UCUACGGGCGGCUGCAGUGGGGAAUAUUGGACAAUGGGCGAAAGCCUGAUCCAGCCAUGCCGCGUGUGUGAAGAAGGCCUUCGGGUUGUAAAGCACUUUCAGUGGGGAAGAAAGCCUUGGGGCUAAUACCCUCGAGGAAGGACAUCACCCACAGAAGAAGCACCGGCUAACUCCGUGCCAGCAGCCGCGGUAAUACGGAGGGUGCGAGCGUUAAUCGGAAUUACUGGGCGUAAAGCGCGCGUAGGCGGUCUGAUAAGCCGGUUGUGAAAGCCCCGGGCUCAACCUGGGAACGGCAUCCGGAACUGUCAGGCUAGAGUGCAGGAGAGGAAGGUAGAAUUCCCGGUGUAGCGGUGAAAUGCGUAGAGAUCGGGAGGAAUACCAGUGGCGAAGGCGGCCUUCUGGACUGACACUGACGCUGAGGUGCGAAAGCGUGGGUAGCAAACAGGAUUAGAUACCCCUGUAGUC